AUCGAACGCUGGCGGCAGGCUUAACACAUGCAAGUCGAGCGAGCGGCGGACGGGUGAGUAAUGUCUGGGGAUCUGCCUGAUGGAGGGGGAUAACUACUGGAAACGGUAGCUAAUACCGCAUACCAUCAGAUGAACCCAUAUGGGAUUAGCUGGUAGGUAAGGUAACGGCUUACCUAGGCGACGCUCCCUAGCUGGUCUGAGAGGAUGAUCGGCCACACUGGAACUGAGACACGGCCAAGACUCCUACGGGAGGCAGCAGUAGGGAAUAUUGCGCAAUGGGGGCAAGCCUGACGCAGCCAUGCCGAGUGAAUGAAGAAGGACUUCGGGUUGUAAAGUUCUUUCGUUAGCGAGGCGUUAACUACAGAAGAAGCACCGGCUAACUCCGUGCCAGCAGCCGCGGUAAUAC
rnacentral:rRNA from 1 species